GCCAGGCGUGGUGGCGCGCGCCUGUAAUCCCAGCUACUCGGGAGGCUGAGGCAGGAGAAUCGCUUGAACCUGGGAGGUGGAGGUUACAGUGAGCCAAGAUUGCACCACUGCACUCCAGCCUGGGCAACAUAGCGAGACUCUGUCUCAA
rnacentral:SRP_RNA from 1 species